UACAGAGGGGGCAAGCGUUGUUCGGAAUUACUGGGCGUAAAGAGCGUGUAGGCGGCCAGGCAGGUCUGUUGUGAAAACUGGAGGCUCAACUUCCAGACGUCGACAGAAACCGCUUGGCUAGAGUCCGGAAGAGGAGAGUGGAAUUCCUGGUGUAGCGGUGAAAUGCGCAGAUAUCAGGAAGAACACCGAUGGCGAAGGCAGCUCUCUGGGACGGUACUGACGCUGAGACGCGAAAGCGUGGGGAGCGAACAGG
rnacentral:rRNA from 1 species